UAUAAAUUAUCAAUGAUAAGAUGAACGUACCCGCGUGGUUUUAAUAUAUCGAAUUCGACUUUAGCUAGGAGGAGAUAGAUGAUUCUAUUGCCCUCCUUUAAUUGGAAAGGUCAGGAUGAUGACGCGGUUAUCUUUUUUCUGUCCCUCUGAUAAGAGAUGAAUUGAUUACAAAUGAAAAAAUGUUUCAGAACUUCUGUUUUCCAUUUGGCAACUACUAUUUCAUGGAUGUAACCUCAGAAGAAAAUGUUCUAACUGACUACAGUUGACAGCAAUUUUCUUGUUAAUCGCAUUAUUCAUCUGUAGGUCUUAAUCAUUUAAAACUCAUAAUAAAGAGUUAUCCACU